rnacentral:rRNA from 1 species
GUAGUUAGCCGGGGCUUCCUCCUUGGCUACCGUCAUUUUUUCGUCACCAAGGACAGAGGUUUACAACCCGAAAGCCUUCUUCCCUCACGCGGCGUUGCUGGGUCAGGCUUGCGCCCAUUGCCCAAUAUUCCCCACUGCUGCCUCCCGUAGGAGUCUGGACCGUGUCUCAGUUCCAGUGUGGCCGAUCAGCCUCUCAGCUCGGCUACCCAUCGCUGACUUGGUGGGCCGUUACCCCGCCAACUAUCUAAUGGGACGCGAACCCCUCCAAUUGCGGAUUGCUCCUUUGACCUCAUCCCGAUGCCGGGUCGUGGUCUUAUGCGGUAUUAGCACUUGUUUCCAGGUGUUAUCCCCCUCAACUGGUCAGGUUGUUCACGCGUUACUCACCCGUUCGCCACUAAGCUAUAUCCGAAAACAUAGCUCCGUUCGACUUGCAUGUGUUAGGCACGCCGCCAGCGUUCGUCCUGAGCCAGAAUCAAACUCUGA